GCGAUCUCCGUUAGCUCCAAGGCGGAAGGAUCUGUCGUCCCACUGCAGUGUCGGGUUUCCGUUGUCAAAUAGGAAGUGAAGCCACGGGCCGCCAUCCUUAAGCAAUUCCCGCUAUCUCAGACUCCUGGUAUAGAUGGGAAGGGAUGUCCAUGGCUUAACUCCUGAGCUCCCUAGGUGGGGUCUGAACCUGGGCCCAAAGCAGUAGGGGGGGGGGAGGUCAUGCAGCACUGGGAAUGGUUUCUCAAAACCCUCACAUAGGUCGUCCGCUGACUUUGGUCGGGCUUACUGCCACCUCGAGGUAGCGGGAAGACCUGAGGAGUUGAGAUUCCCGGCUUGUGGUUGGAUAAAUGAGUUCCAGUGUAAAAUGGUGGUUUCCGUGAAAAGGACGUGUGAGAACGAAAUUAAUAGGGAAGCAUGCUCGUGGCAUCUUCAUUAAAGUCAGGAACCACAGACGGGAUGGUUUAUAAAGAAUAGAGGUUCCAGAGGCAGGGAUAUUCAAGAACUGUGUGCCAGCCUUCCUGCUGCAUCUUGAUGCGAUAGAGAGAGUCACAUGCCCAGACAGACAAGCCUGCCUGCUCAGAUCUCACUUCUUCCUGUAAAGCCACUGGUGGUGUUUAUGGAAAGUCCAUGCUGGAAUAGAGCUAACAAGGACUGGGCUCUGCCCUCAUCGCCUCAUUUGAAGAACCUCCUUCUACAAGCCUCAUUUCAAUUAGCAACUCCAAUUUAAGGAUUGAGUUUCCAAGGCAUGGACUUUUGGGUGUCUGCUGAAACCCUGGCAAAGAAGGACGGCAUGCCUACCUCCCUUCUAGCCUCCCCUCCUCUUUCUCUCUCCUCCUUUCUGUUUAAAGCAGAGAUCAAGGAAUAAAAGCAAGGAUUGUUCUAUGGCAUGAAAA
rnacentral:lncRNA from 1 species